UUAUCAGUCCACGGAACUGGAGUAUCAACUCUUUAAUUCCCUGUGCUUUACAUGAUGUUACGAUGUGGAAUGCUGAUAACAAGAAUCAUAAAACCAUGACAGUGCUCAUCCAGACACAUCAUCUAUGAUAUGAGCUAGUUGGCACUCAGGGUCUGGGGUGCCUGCAAAACCAAUGCUUGGUCUUCUUCCCUGGUGAAAGAGUCACUUACUGUGAAGGUAUCUUCAGUAUCUCUAAAACUUAAGUUUAUUUCUUUGGUCACAUAUUCUGAAGCGGUUUUGACCGAACACCUUCCUGCUUGAAACUGGAUACUGCUUCUUAUGGUGUGGCCUAAUAUACUCUUACAAAUGAAGGCAGACGGACAAGUCACACAAGUUCCUAUCACUCUACUAAAAAUUUAUUUUCAUCUCUUAUUAAGUCAGUAACUGCGUAAGUCUGAGGGAAAAUAUCUUUAUUCAAUAAGAUAUCUAGAUUCUAGAAGUUGCAUAGUAAAAAGCAGAGUAGAUAAGGCAGGUAGAAACAAAAGCUGUUUUCUGUUGUCAUAGGAAAUGUGCUGAAUAUAAUGCUUUGCUGUUUCGUUGAUUAAUUUUAAAAAUAAAAGUCUUCCUUACUAGCAGAAGUCAGAAAGGAAAGAAGAUACUAUAGAUCACAAAUCUUUUAAACCAUUUAUACUAUUCAUUGAUUAACUGGUGAACACAGAUAUAUUUUAAAUCAUGAAGAUUACAUUGAAGUCUCUUAUUCACCGACAACACAGAUAUACCUGUUUUAACUGCUUUUACAUUGCAAAAAAAUAUAAUAAUCCUGCUGUAUAUUUCAUAGAAGGCUGGUGCGGGAUUCAAUUGACUAAAUAUAGUUACCUACCUUAUAUAUAACCAGACCUGUCUGUGUGCGCUUUCCUUCAUGAUUAAUUAAAAGGAAUAGACAUAGUUAUAGAGCGGUCAAUAUCAUGCUGAAGUAGGCAUCUAUAAUAAAUCAGAUGAACUGUGGCCUUCAGAUACUUACAUCUCUUCUUUGAUGUUAAAGGAAGCCCAAAUUACCAGGCUUUUGUCUUUGAAUUGCACUUAGACACCUUACAACAAGUGAAAUAAUCCUGCUUCUGUGACCUAGCUCUAGGUCACAGGAGCAGAGAAAAUAGUAAUAAUAAUAAACUAUCAAAAUGUUAUAGCUAAAGGAAGUAAAGGGAGUCAGGAAAUUGUUAUAUCUUAAUAUAAACAUAAUUAACAUAAUUUCAAUAUACACUAUUUUGACAAACAUAUGAUCUUAUAAUCAGACCUCAUCCAUACCCUGUUUUUAUUUUCUCUUUACCUCAAGGAAUUAAGUGUAGAUGUUUCUGCAG
ensembl:lncRNA